rnacentral:misc_RNA from 1 species
AUUUUUUGUCAUAAUAUAUUAAAAAAUUUUUGAAAAGUACUUUGGCAUUGUUACUUCUCAAGAUGCGCAUAGAAAUAUUAAACUUUGUUUUUAUUUCAGCAUAAAAGGUACAACAAAUAGAACAUUGCUCAAAACAGCUUUUCAUUAAAUAUAACCAAAUAGCACGAAAGUAAUCAUCAACAAAUGUGACAAAGUAUUUAAAUUCGUACCGUGAAACAACAGGAUAAGG